GUCAGCGACCAUAGUUAUGGGGGCAACACCCGUUCUCAUUCCGAACACGGAAGUUAAGACCUAUAGCGUUAUAGGCUGUACUGCAUAAUAUGUGGGAAACCUAUAAGUUGCUGAUA
rnacentral:rRNA from 1 species